ensembl:lncRNA
GCCACAACUGGACUCUUAUUUGUGAUUCCUGCGUUGUCCACAGAUGUCGACACACUGGAGGUCCAGUUCACAGUGUUCCGUGCUCCGAACAGCUCACUGCAGUUCCAGCAAACAUCUCUGUUCAACGGACACGUGAUCUUUUCCUGCAACAGCCAAACACUAACAGACCAACCAAGACAGGCCUGGGUUACACACACAUUCACCCAAGAGGAACUGGAGGAGAGACGCAUGCAGUGUGAGGGUCAGCGUAAUGAGCACUUUGCUUGUUUGGCGAGUAUAGACAACACUAUCACAGCAGGUGGGUUAUUGUCAAGAUAAUAAUAAAAAAAUAUAUUAAUUACAUUCAUUUGAGUAAUUCUAUCAUUUUGUGAUAUAAUACAAUAUUUUCUAAACCUUUACAGAGUUUCUUCAGAGACGUCGUGGUUGUAUGAUCAACAGCUCAGGAGUAUUUGCUUUUGAAGAGUGGUGUGUCAAUGGAGAGGACUUCUUGACCUUUGAACCCCAGACUCUUAAAUGGACUCCUCUGUCUGACCUGGCAACCCCUAUGGCAGCAAAGUGGAACAAGCAUGACAUCAGGAAUCGUGUGUUUGGGGACUUUUUACACCAAGUCUGUCCAAAGGCCCAUGAUACCUUGAAGUUGAAGAGAGCAACAUGGAUCAAUGAAUCAGCACAAACGGAUAUGGAACUCCAUAUUUUUGCCAACUCUAUCCCAAGAAGUACCUCCACGAACUUACAGUGUCACGUGACAGCCUUUGACCUAUCAGGAGUCAGAAUCCAGUUAACCAAAGAUGGGGUUCCUCUGGACUAUGGGGUGGAGCGGAUUGGACCGCGUCCCAAUGGAGACGGAACCGUUCAGAUGAGAGUCGGGGUUCGAACCACAAUGGACACCAAUAAACACUAUCGAUGUGAGGCUCACAGUAAGACUGUCAACAAGUCUGUCCUGUUCGAUCACAAAAAUGCCCUUGUCGUUGCCAUUGGGAUUGCUUGGGGUGUUGUGUUCCUGGUUACUGUGGUAAUUUGUAUUUGGCGGGGGCUAGAAAGAACAGGUAAGGUUCUGUGUGUUUGAGCAAAACAGCCCUGAGUCCUAGUGAUGUCAUCAUUACUGAUUAUUGUCUCUGAUGUUCACAUGCAGGUUACACACCAGCUCCAACCAAUGACAUCGCCAUGACACCAGUCUCAACCAAUGGCAUCCCCAUGUCCCCUGCCCCAACCAAUGGCAUCUCCAUGUCACCAGCCCCAACCAAUGGCAUCUCCAUGUCACCAGCCUCAACCAAUGGCAUCGCCAUGACACCAGCCUUAACCAAUGGCAUCUCCAUGUCACCAGCCUCAACCAAUGGCAUCUCCAUUUCUUCAGCCUCAACAAAGGGCAUCUCUAUGACACCAGCCCCAACCAAUGGCAUCGCCAUGACACCAGCCCCAACCAAUGGCAUCUCCAUGACACCAGCCUUAACCAAUGGCUCAACAAUCCCACUUCCGAGAUUUGAGAUUCCGGAACUCACUGAAGAACCCGUUCAGGCAUUCACAGGUAACCAUGAACUUGUGCUGCCCAGUGAGGUUCCAGCAGAGAGCCCAACUAAUGGAAGCACCUCCAUGCACAGUCCUCCCACUGCUGACACGUGAGAUUAGGGGGGGGGGGGGGGGGGGGGACUCCUACCUUCUGCUCACGUCACACACUCUGGCAUCCCACGUCUCCUCCCUACAGGUUCCUCACCGUACCACAGGGUGGGUCCCAGAGGAGAACUGCCAUCUCAUGAUCCUGACCCGUUACCUAAGCCUGUUUUUGUUUUCUUCCCCAUUUGUGAUAUGCUGCAUAAGCAUGGUGAAACAAUGAGUGUUAAAAUACAUUUAUUUUUUAUUUAUAUAUGCAUAUAUUCUAGAUUAAGCAUUAAAGAACAACACUAACUUCAAAGAGGCUUUAUAUUUGUUUUGUGAACUUUAUAAUCUCGUUACUAUCUUGUCUUUUUAGCUUGUAAAAUGUUUGUGUGUUUCUAUGUGUUCCCAAUGCUGUUCAGAGAAGGGUACUAAAUGGAUGAAUGUACUGUAUUUUAUGCUGCUCUAUGUUGCAAGAAACUUUUAAAGUGCCUUUUUUUCAAACUUGAUAACUUGAGUUUUGUGUCAAAAUGCUCUCAGUUUCCUCUGUAAGGAAUAUUUGGGUGUUUCUCAAAGUCAAGGGUGCUUCCAAGUUGUGUCCUUUGGAGGCUAGGCAAGACUCCUUCCUAGCAUUCAGAGAACAAACAAUGGAACAUUCUAGCAAGUGUGCAGGUUGAAAAGGUCCUGCCUUCAAAUCCAGAGUUGCUUUUUAUAUAGGAUCUGGUAAGUGCGCAAAGGAUUGUGGGUGCUCUAAGAACGCAGAGGAUACUCCAAUUGCAUCCUUCAAAAUUCUCUGAACAGUGGACUCGGUAUGCAUCCUGCAUCCUUGAAACGCAGCCGCCAAGGACCCUUCCUUGACUUUGAGAAACCCAGAGAGAAAAAGAAAGAAGAGUUUUAAGAAGUCUGUGAUAACCAUGCUGCCAUGUUGUUUGACCUUGAUGAUUUGCACCUGCUACCUACCUAUGCACAUGGUCAGUUGCAUUGUGGAAAAGCUCAGCAGGACCAAAAUAAAUACUGUACUCUGGAUGUGUUGAUUGUGGGU